GGCUCUUUUUUCAUUAUGAAAUCUUGUUGAGAGCUUCCAGUCUAUGAGAGCUAACUAGUUAGCCACUAGCAAAACACUAAGGCGAGCUAGCAGCUUGACAACCAAAUACCAGACGAUUAAUAGUAGCUGUAGUGUAGUUGUACAGUAGUAGGAAUACUAAAAGUACAAGCAGCAGUAGUAGUAUAAACAGCUGUUAGAGUCAUAGAAGUAGUAUCAGCAUUUGUAAUAGUAUGACAAGUUGUAGUAGCAGUGCCAGUAUCUGCAACAGUAGUUGGUAGUCACGUUGCUAUUACUACCACCAAUACUACCAAUAGUAGUUAUAAAGCCUAACUCAUAUAUAUCCAGAUUACCAUCUAUGUUCUUCCUCCAAACCCAUUUUAUGAUUGGGAUUACAGGCAGUUUUUUAGGACUGCUCUCAAAUAAUUGAAAUGUUACUAAACAAGGUUAUACUUAUCAAAUUAAAUAGCUCUGGUCGCCAGUAUAUUGGCAAAUUCGGUUCUUUGUACUUAAUUUAUUAGCAUGAUUUCUUUUUAAUAUGUUGUGUACAGACUUAAUUACUUCUCUGUCUACUUUUCUUACUCCAUGUAGGUUUCCCAGAGACUAUGGGUUGAGGAGGAAUUGGAAGUUUGUCGGCUUAGACCUGGUGUCAUUCCAUCAGUGUUAAACUUCCCGGCUCAUCUUGGAAGAGUACGUGCCAGAAAGACCACGACCAAGCAGCCUUGAGAUCUUAGGCAGUGUCUCCCUGAGGUCCCUCUCUAUCUCCCCACACAUCCACCAACCACUGGAACACAUCUCCAAAGUUCUGCCGGGCCAGCUCAGCUUCCCCUCAGAAGAAGUGCCGCCACCUGCCAGAUGAAGGAGCCUUUUGAGAGGCAGCUGGCAUCGUGAUUGGACUGUACUUUGGUCUGUUCCAAUCCAGCUUCAGCUCCAGAGACGGCAGGCGGGACGAGUCAAUGGAGGCCUGGUGGACGAAGGCAUGCAGCUGAGUACAAUCUAGAAAACAACAGAGGAGGAGUGCAGUGGCUCAGGGCCAGAACAACCAGAGUAGCAUCGUAUGUCUCUUAUUAAACAUCAUAGUAUAGCCUCUGGUAUGAAAAAAUGCCAUCAUAUACAUCGUAUAUUGUACAAAUAACAAGUCAAAGGAAAGAGACAUACAUUGUAGAAUUGUAGUAAUUGUGGGCUGACUGAUUUACUGAUUAUCAGUAUUUUAUUUUUUACUGAUUUACGGUAAUAAAUACAUUUAAAAAGUGUG